rnacentral:rRNA from 1 species
GGGGGAAUCUUAGACAAUGGGCGCAAGCCUGAUCUAGCCAUGCCGCGUGAUCGAUGAAGGCCUUAGGGUUGUAAAGAUCUUUCAGAUGGGAAGAUAAUGACGGUACCAUCAGAAGAAGCCCCGGCUAACUCCGUG